UACGAGGGAUCCUAGCGUUGUUCGGAAUCAUUGGGCGUAAAGGGUGUGUAGGCGGCUAGACAAGUCAGUUGUGAAAGCCCCGGGCUCAACCCGGGAAGUGCUUCUGAUACUGUUUAGCUUGAGUACUGGAGAGGUGAGUAGAAUUCCAGGUGUAGUGGUGAAAUACGUAGAUAUCUGGAGGAAUACCGGUGGCGAAGGCGGCUCACUGGCCAUGUACUGACGCUGAAACACGAAAGCGUGGGGAUCAAACAGG
rnacentral:rRNA from 1 species